AAAGCGGAUCGGGCAAUCGCGUUGCGGCUUGCCGCAUCGAGGAAGGUCCGGACUCCACAGGGCAGGGUAGCGGCUAACGGCCGCCCGGCGGCGCGGCGGGUGCAAAUCCAUCGCGUGAGAUUGAGGAACAGGGCCACAGAGACGAGUCUGUCAGGUGGGCGUGCAUAACGCACUGGUACGGCCACUCCGUACUGCGCGUGUCGGCAACGAUGCGCGGCCUGGCAGGGUGAAACGCGGCAACCUCUACCCGGAGCAACAUCAAAUAGGCACGCGUGGCGUUUUCGGAUGCCGAAGGGCGGCUCGCUCAAGCGUGCGGGUAGAUGGCUAGAUCGGGUCAGCAAUGGCUCGGCGAGAGGAAUGAUUGCCCGUCGGACUCACGUUCGACGUACAGAAUCCGGCCUAUAGAUCCGCUUUGCAC
rnacentral:RNase_P_RNA from 1 species